GCCCACUGCUAGUAUGGUUUUAAAAAGAGGUCCAUUCCAAACUAAGAGAAGUUUGACAAGACAAAGUUUUCUUUCCUUAUUGCCAUCACCAUUGGCUCAAGUUCAUAUUUAUUUAAGGUAGAAAAAGUUACUAUAUUGGUUUUAUCUCUUCACCAUUUUCAAUGUGUGCUUAGUGCAGAAACAAUUUAUAGCAUCUCAAGCCAAGCCAACAAAUAAUCAACAUAAGAUACAAGACAAUCUGUUGAGAAAAGCAAUGGACAUCCAACAUAGGACUACUCACAAUUGCAACAACAAAAUCUCAGACUGAAAGACAAAAUCUAUGCCCAGAAUUCAGAAGGGUUCAAGGGUAGCAAAAAAAACCUGUAAUUGUCCAUUGAAAAAUAUAGCAAUGAGGUUGCACAGGGUUGGCAAGUUAGAGUUGGGUCAUUUCAGAUUCAUGUCAUUGCAGGUAUCACAUUUUUUUCUUGGCAAAAUCAGGUUGAUUCUGGUAACACUUCUCUUAAGGCAGGUUUAGGUUGUUUUUGGUCCUGCCUAUCAGCUCAAAUUUUAAGUGGUUUUGCUUACCUUAUUUUUCAAUUUUUGGGAAUUCAUUAGCAGUCAUUUUUUAAUUAUUUUUGGGAAUUUUUAUAAUUCUAAUAUUAUGU
rnacentral:misc_RNA from 1 species